UCUGUGUCCCCACAAGGUUAGUUAUACAUGACUGUGUGUGUGUGUGUGUGUGUGUGUGUGUGUGUGUGUGUGUGUGUGUGUGUGUGUGUGUGUGUGUGUGUGUGUGUGUGUGUGUGUGUGUGUGUGUGUGUGUGUCCCCACAAGGUUAGUUAUACAUGACUGUGUGUGUGUGUGUGUGUGUGUGUGUGUGUGUGUGUGUGUGUGUGUGUGUGUGUGUGUGUGUGUGUGUGUGUCUGUGUCCCCACAAGGUUAGUUAUACAUGACUGUGUGUGUGUGUGUGUGUGUGUGUGUGUGUCUGUGUCCCCACAAGGUCAGUUAUACAUGACUGUGUGUGUGUGUGUGUGUGUGUGUGUGUGUGUCUGUGUCCCCACAAGGUUAGUUAUACAUGACUGUGUGUGUGUGUGUGUGUGUGUGUGUGUGUGUGUGUGUGUCCCCACAAGGUUAGUUAUACAUGACUGUGUGUGUGUGUGUAUGUGUCCCCACAAGGUUAGUUAUACAUGACUGUGUGUGUGUGUGUGUGUGUGUGUGUGUGUGUGUGUGUGUGUGUGUGUGUGUGUGUCCCCACAAGGUCAGUUAUACAUGACUGUGUGUGUGUGUGUGUGUGUGUGUCCCCACAAGGUCAGUUAUACAUGACUGUGUGUGUGUGUGUGUGUGUGUGUCCCCACAAGGUUAGUUAUACAUGACUGUGUGUGUGUGUGUGUGUGUGUCCCCACAAGGUUAGUUAUACAUGACUGUGUGUGUGUGUGUGUGUGUGUGUCCCCACAAGGUUAGUUAUACAUGACUGUGUGUGUGUGUGUGUGUGUGUCCCCACAAGGUUAGUUAUACAUGACUGUGUGUGUGUGUGUGUGUGUGUGUGUGUGUGUGUCUGUGUCCCCACAAGGUUAGUUAUACAUGACUGUGUGUGUGUGUGUGUGUGUGUGUGUGUGUGUCUGUGUCCCCACAAGGUUAGUUAUACAUGACUGUGUGUGUGUGUGUGUGUGUGUGUGUGUGUGUCUGUGUCCCCACAAGGUUAGUUAUACAUGACUGUGUGUGUGUGUGUGUGUGUGUCCCCACAAG
rnacentral:lncRNA from 1 species